AUUGAACGCUGGCGGCAUGCCUUACACAUGCAAGUCGAACGGCAGCACGGGAGCAAUCCUGGUGGCGAGUGGCGAACGGGUGAGUAAUGCAUCGGAACGUACCCGGAAGUGGGGGAUAACGUAGCGAAAGUUACGCUAAUACCGCAUAUUCUGUGAGCAGGAAAGCGGGGGAUCUUCGGACCUUGUGCUUUCGGAGCGGCCGAUGUCGGAUUAGCUAGUUGGUGGGGUAAAGGCCUACCAAGGCGACGAUCCGUAGCAGGUCUGAGAGGAUGAUCUGCCACACUGGGACUGAGACACGGCCCAGACUCCUACGGGAGGCAGCAGUGGGGAAUUUUGGACAAUGGGCGCAAGCCUGAUCCAGCCAUGCCGCGUGAGUGAAGAAGGCCUUCGGGUUGUAAAGCUCUUUUGUCAGGGAAGAAAUGGUUUGGGCUAAUACCCUGAAUCGAUGACGGUACCUGAAGAAUAAGCACCGGCUACUACGUGCCAGCAGCCGCCGUAAGAC
rnacentral:rRNA from 1 species